GAUUCCUUAGCUCAGUUGGUAGAGCACAUCCCUUUUAAGGAUGGGGUCCUGGGUUCGAGCCCCAGAGGGAUCA
rnacentral:tRNA from 2 species